rnacentral:rRNA from 1 species
GCAAGUCGAGGGGUAACAUUGUAGCUUGCUACAGAUGACGACCGGCGCACGGGUGAGUAACGCGUAUGCAACCUGCCUUUGACAGGGGGAUAGCCCGGAGAAAUCCGGAUUAAUAUCCCAUGGUAUUUACGAAUCGCAUGGUUUGUAAAUUAAAGAUUUUAUCGGUCAAAGAUGGGCAUGCGUGACAUUAGCUAGUUGGUAAGGUAACGGCUUACCAAGGCUGCGAUGUCUAGGGGUUCUGAGAGGAUGAUCCCCCACACUGGUACUGAGACACGGACCAGACUCCUACGGGAGGCAGCAGUGAGGAAUAUUGGUCAAUGGGCGCAAGCCUGAACCAGCCAUCCCGCGUGAAGGAAGACUGCCCUAUGGGUUGUAAACUUCUUUUCUGCACCAAGAAUGGUUACUACGUGUAGUGAUUUGACGGUAGUGCAGGAAUAAGCAUCGGCUAACUCCGUGCCAGCAGCCGCGGUAAUACGGAGGAUGCAAGCGUUAUCCGGAUUCAUUGGGUUUAAAGGGUACGUAGGUGGCCAAUUAAGUCAGUGGUGAAAUCCUGCCGCUUAACGGUAGAACUGCCAUUGAAACUGGUUGGCUUGAGUACAGUUGAGGUAGGCGGAAUGUGUAGUGUAGCGGUGAAAUGCUUAGAUAUUACACAGAACCCCGAUUGCGAAGGCAGCUUACUAAACUGUAACUGACACUGAGGUACGAAAGCGUGGGGAGCGAACAGGAUUAGAUACCCUGGUAGUCCACGCUGUAAACGAUGCUCACUCGCUGUAUGCGAUACAUUGUAUGCGGCCAAGCGAAAGUCUUAAGUGAGCCACCUGGGGAGUACGUUGGCAACAGUGAAACUCAAAGGAAUUGACGGGGGCCCGCACAAGCGGAGGAACAUGUGGUUUAAUUCGAUGAUACGCGAGGAACCUUACCUGGGCUUAAAUGCAGAUUGACAGACGUCAAAGAUGUUUUUCUUCGGACAGUUUGCAAGGUGCUGCAUGG